rnacentral:lncRNA from 1 species
GUGAACUGAGAUAGGACCACUGCACUCUAGCCUGGGUGAUAGAAGGAGACUCUGUCUCAGGGGGAAAAAAAAGAAAAUGUGGCAUAUAUACAUACAUACAUAUGUAUGGAAUAAAAAAUACAAUGCAGUCAUGCAGUCAUGUCUUUGGCAGCAACAUGGAUAUAACUGGAGGCCAUUAUCUUAAGUGAAAUAACUCAGUUUACUACAUGUUGUCACUUAUAAGCAGGAGCUAAAUAAUGUGUACACAUGGACAUAGAUUGUGGAAUAAUAGACACUGGAGACUUGGUAGGGUGGAAGGGUGGGAGGGGGUGAGGGAUGAGAAAUUACUUGAAAGGUACAUGUACACUGUUAGGGUGAUGGCUACUCUAGGGAGAGAGGUGAGGGACAAAAUAUUACAUAUUGGGUACCGUGUACACUACUCGAGUGACAGGUCUGUUUCCCACCCACUUUACUUUCCAUUCUUAGUUCCAUUUCUCUAGCCCAGUAUUUUUCUGGAACCAGAAGC